rnacentral:rRNA from 1 species
UCAAGCUACAAAGAGCGCAAGGGGAAUGCCUUGGCACCAGGAGCCGACGAAGGACGCAGCGAUCUGCGAAAAGCCACGGUGAGGCGAAAGCAGCCAUCGACCCGUGGAUUUCCGAAUGGGGAAACCCGGCUGAGCAAUACUCAGUCAUCAUGCGGUGAAUCAAAUAGCCGUAUGAAGGGAACCGCCUGAACUGAAACAUCUAAGUAGGGCGAGGAAAAGAAAUCAACCGAGAUUCCGCUAGUAGUGGCGAGCGAACGCGGAAGAGGCCAAACCGAGAGUAGAAAUAUUCUCGGGGUUCGGACAGUGUAGUGUAUUGAUGACGGUUAGCAGAAGGACAUGGGACGGUCCACCACAGAGAGUGAUAGUCUCGUACGCGAAAACCGAAGUCAGCCAACUGUAUCCAGAGUACCGCCGGACACGUGAAACCCGGUGGGAAUAUGGGGGGACCAUCCUCCAAGCCUAAAUACUCCCUGGUGACCGAUAGUGAACAGUACUGUGAAGGAAAGGUGAAAAGAACCCCGGGAGGGGAGUGAAAAGAACCUGAAACCUUGUGCUUACAAGCACACAAAGCACGUCAAAGUGUGAUGUGGUACCUUUUGUAGAAUGGUCCGGCGAGUGAAUGUAACCGGCGAGGUUAAGUGUUUAAGACACGGAGCCGCAGCGAAAGCGAGUCUGAAACGGGCGUUUCAGUCGGUUGUAUUCGACCCGAAACCGGGUGACCUAGCCAUGUCCAGGCUGAAGUUAAGGUAAAACUUGAUGGAGGGCCGAACCCACUCCCGUUGAAAUGGUAGGGGAUGAGGUGUGGCUAGCGGAGAAAUUCCAAUCGAACCCGGAGAUAGCUGGUUCUCUCCGAAAUAGCUUUAGGGCUAGCCUCGAUCGAACAUUACCGGAGGUAGAGCACUGAAUGAGCUAGGGGCCGAGAGGUUACUGAACUCUAUCAAACUCCGAAUGCCGGAUAAUGAUGAUCGGGAGUCAGACUAUGGGAGAUAAGUUUCAUAGUCAAAAGGGAAACAGCCCAGACCCACAGCUAAGGUCCCAAAGUAUGGUUAAGUGGAAAAGGAUGUGGAGUUGCACAGACAACCAGGAUGUUGGCUUAGAAGCAGCCACUCAUUAAAAGAGUGCGUAAUAGCUCACUGGUCGAGUGACUCUGCGCCGAAAAUUUAACGGGGCUAAAUCGUACACCGAAGCUUGGGAUGUAUCUAUGAUACAUGGUAGGAGAGCGUUGAAUGCGGGGUGAAGUCAGAGCGAAAGCGCUGGUGGACUGCAUUGAAGUGAGAAUGCCGGAAUGAGUAGCGAGAUUUAUGUGAGAAUCAUAAAGGCCGAAUGACUAAGGAUUCAGAAGGAAGGUUCGUCCGCUUCUGGUUAGCCGGGAGCUAAGGUGAGGCCGAGAGGCGUAGCCGAUGCACAUACGGUGGAGAUUCCGUAGCCGCCGAAAGACAGAGGGACACUUUGGAAGCGUUGUUGCCGGGCGAUGGUCGCCCCGGUCGAAAGGGACCGAAGACAAGUAGGGAAGAACAGCGUGGACAGAGGCAAGAAAAGCUCUGUGAAUUAAAAGGCGCCCGUACCGCAAACCGACACAGGUAGUCAGGAAGAGAAUUCUAAGGCCAACGGGAGAAGGGUAGUUAAGGAACUCGGCAAAUUGACCCCGUAACUUCGGAAUAAGGGGUGCUCCUGAGAAGGAGCCGCAGUGAAAAGGUCCAGGCGACUGUUUAUCAAAAACACAGGUCUCUGCUAAAUCGAAAGAUGAAGUAUAGGGGCUGACACCUGCCCGGUGCUGGAAGGUUAAGAGGAGAGGUGCAAGCUUUGAAUCGAAGCCCCAGUAAACGGCGGCCGUAACUAUAACGGUCCUAAGGUAGCGAAAUUCCUUGUCGGGUAAGUUC